GACGGAGGAUGCAAGUGUUAUCCGGAAUCACUGGGCGUAAAGCGUCUGUAGGUGGUCAAAUAAGUCAACUGUUAAAUCUUGAGGCUCAACCUCAAAAUCGCAGUCGAAACUAUUUGACUAGAGUAUAGUAGGGGUAAAGGGAAUUUCCAGUGGAGCGGUGAAAUGCGUAGAGAUUGGAAAGAACACCAAUGGCGAAGGCACUUUACUGGGCUAUUACUAACACUGAGAGACGAAAGCUAGGGUAGCAAAUGGG
rnacentral:rRNA from 1 species